rnacentral:rRNA from 1 species
CCUACGGGAGACAGCAGUGAGGAAUAUUGGUCAAUGGGCGCUAGCCUGAACCAGCCAAGUAGCGUGAAGGAUGACUGCCCUAUGGGUUGUAAACUUCUUUUAUAUGGGAAUAACGUGCCUUAUGUAUACUGCUUUGCAUGUACCUUAUGAAUAAGGACCGGCUAACUCCGUGCCAGCAGCCGCGGUAAUACGGAGGGUCCGAGCGUUAUCCGGAUUUAUUGGGUUUAAAGGGAGCGUAGGCGGGUUGUUAAGUCGGUUGUGAAAGUUUGGGGCUCAACCGUGAAAUUGCAGUGGAAACUGGCAGCCUUGAGUACAGUAGAGGUAGGCGGAAUUCGUGGUGUAGCGGUGAAAUGCUUAGAUAUCACGAAGAACUCCGAUUGCGAAGGCAGCUUGCUGGAGUGUAACUGACGCUGAUGCUCGAAAGUGUGGGUAUCAAACAGGAUUAGAUACCCCUGUAGUC